rnacentral:lncRNA from 1 species
GUGGGGUGCUUGCCUGGCAUGUGCAAGGCUCUAGGUUCCAUCUCCAGCACCCCGCAAUAUUUGCGGGAAGAGCUACUAGUAAAAGCAAAGUCAGAGAUGCCUUGAGAAGGAGGCUAUGUGGACUGCAUAUUCCAAGGUGUGAAAAGAGGCAGGGAAUGGGGUGAAUAUGGAUGGAGCCCUGGCUCCAUCCCCACCCUGUGGUGGGCACCAGGUAGGGGUUAGCCUCCCUCUGUCUCUGUUUGCUUAUAGAUUUUUUUAGGCAGGGUCUCACUAUGUUGCCCAGGCUGGCCUCAAAUUCACAGCCAUCCUCCUUCCUCAGCUUCCAGAGUUCUGGGAUUACAGACAGACAUGCGCCACCACACCUGGCUCUGUCUCUGUUUGUGCAUUUGUCAAGGAGUGACAACAAUAAGCACACCUUAAAGGAGCAAGGGAAAGAGAAAAAUGAGGGAGCAGGCCAGUGUAAAGCACUCGAUUUAUACCCGCAGCAAAAUAAGUCCUUAAAUAUUACUGAUGCUCAUUAUUAGUUUCAGAAUUUUAGCAGCAUUUGAGUAAAUCUCAGAGAUUAUUAUCAACCCUUAUGGCAGCAUUUGAUCUGACUUUUACUGGAAGAAAGGAAUCAUAUUUAUUUAUUUUUUCUUGCAGCUUACAUGAUUUCUGUGUUUGGGCAACCGUGCCCAGGGGCUCUAACUUGCAGUCGAUCAAAUCGGUUUAUUCGGACGAGGCUUGAGGUUUCUCCCAUACAUCUACAUUUCAGGUUUGUAUUGUAAGCCUCCAAAACCCCUGUAAACACAGAAUUAGUUAUUUUAAUCCUUUUGGCAUAUAAUUUGUAAUGAAAACCAAACCUCAUACUCUUUUAUUUGAAGAUUUGAACAUUUCCGACUGGCUGGGCAUGGGAUUGCACA